UACAGAGGGGGCAAGCGUUAUUCGGAAUUAUUGGGCGUAAAGGGCGCGUAGGCGGCCUGGCAAGUGGAUGGUGAAAUCCCUCGGCUUAACCGAGGAACUGCCAUCCAGACUGCUUGGCUUGAGACCGGGAGAGGUGAGUGGAAUUCCCAGUGUAGCGGUGAAAUGACGCAGAUAUCAGGAGGAACAGCCGGUGGCGAAGGCGGGUCUCUGGGCCGAUACUGACGCUGAGGAGCGAAAGCGUGGGGAGCGAACAGG
rnacentral:rRNA from 1 species